rnacentral:rRNA from 1 species
AGGCCCUGCUUUUGUGGGGUGCUCGAGUGGCGAACGGGUGAGUAACACGUGAGUAACCUGCCCUUGACUUUGGGAUAACUUCAGGAAACUGGGGCUAAUACCGGAUAGGAGCUCCUGCUGCAUGGUGGGGGUUGGAAAGUUUCGGCGGUUGGGGAUGGACUCGCGGCUUAUCAGCUUGUUGGUGGGGUAGUGGCUUACCAAGGCUUUGACGGGUAGCCGGCCUGAGAGGGUGACCGGCCACAUUGGGACUGAGAUACGGCCCAGACUCCUACGGGAGGCAGCAGUGGGGAAUAUUGCACAAUGGGCGGAAGCCUGAUGCAGCAACGCCGCGUGCGGGAUGACGGCCUUCGGGUUGUAAACCGCUUUCGCCUGUGACGAAGCGUGAGUGACGGUAAUGGGUAAAGAAGCACCGGCUAACUACGUGCCAGCAGCCGCGGUGAUACGUAGGGUGCGAGCGUUGUCCGGAUUUAUUGGGCGUAAAGGGCUCGUAGGUGGUUGAUCGCGUCGGAAGUGUAAUCUUGGGGCUUAACCCUGAGCGUGCUUUCGAUACGGGUUGACUUGAGGAAGGUAGGGGAGAAUGGAAUUCCUGGUGGAGCGGUGGAAUGCGCAGAUAUCAGGAGGAACACCAGUGGCGAAGGCGGUUCUCUGGGCCUUUCCUGACGCUGAGGAGCGAAAGCGUGGGGAGCG